AAAUCUCACACUGUUGUGUGGCCCCUCCAUUGCAUACAUGUGAGAUGAUCACACAUUGAUUAGCCUCUCGCUGUCACCUAUUCAGAACCACACCCACUCACACACAGGGACUGUGGCCUGCUGAGUCUCACCUUCACUGCACAGCUCUUUGUGCCCUUUUGUGGCCUUUUCUCUGAAAUAGUGAUGAUAAUCCUUGCCCUUCUAGCAGGCUUCUCGUGAGAUAGUGUGUGUGCAAGUGAUUUGUAAAAUGUGAAGUAUGACCACACAUACUUCCGGUGCUUUUGCUUCUGUUCUGUCAGAGACUUGAACUGAGGCCCAGCGUACCAGACACAUACAGCGGGAAGCACCCACUGGGAACCAGGUGUUUUGAACUGGAAACACACGUACUCAGUGUCCCCUGCCUGCUCCUGAGCCCAUUGGUCACAGUUACCUGAACACAGGGCCCAGAGUUGGGGCAGUGCCAAGGCCAGGGCCUAGGCUCAGGGGAAGAGAGCUGAGGCCAUUGUGCAAAGUCGCCUGUUGCAUACCAGAGGGGCCAUGAAGAGGAAGGUGACUUCUUACCUCUGGCUCUGAUACUCUUCCUCCGGAAGCCUGCAAAGUGAUGUCAGUCAAAGGGCCCAGCCCUGUACCUCAGCCUCCCUCUGGCCUCCUCCCUCAGGCUCAGCUUCUCUUUGUCUCCUGGCCCUCACCCCUGUCCUGCACUGUCUCUUGGGCCCUCUUGCUCAUUGCCCGCCCCAUUGAUUGAAAGUCUCUCUCAGGAUCUCCAAGGAGUCCCAGGAAAAAUGAUCCGCCAGCCUAUUGAUUCUUCAUUAGAAUUACAUUUUCACGUGUGCUAAAUUGGUUUUAAAAGCUUUUUCUGUUGUUAUUGUCUUGUCAGACCCUGAGGUCCAGGGCAAACCAAGUUUAAAUGUUGUGGCUUCUUAGGAGAAAAAAUAAUCACUGGGGCUGGGUCUGUGAUUACUGGCUUCUCUGCCUUAUUGUUGUCAUGAUGACAAUUGUGAUUUGGUUUAAGUAUCUUUAGGAAAAGGGCCCUGCAGGAGGCUGCUCAGGUCAGGCUGGGGCUGGCUGGUGAGAAAGCUGAAGACCCUGAAGGAGAGGUAUCAGGGCAGUUUUUCUUUUCCUGAAAAUUAAAUUUAGCACCUGAGCCUGUAUUAAUUUAUUCUGGGACAAGAUGAAAAGCAAAAGUUUUCAAAAAAUCAUUUUUUAUUUCCUCACUCCUGUUCCAGAUCAAAUAGAGGAGAAAUAAAAAACAGGACCCUCACGUCUUCUAGUUCCUUCCCUUCUCCCCUAAAUAGCUGGGGAGCAGGGAGGAGCAUCAGUCUCCACCAAGGUGCUGAGGGAGAGGUUGCAGCCUCCUGCUUUGUAGCAGGGCAGAGGCCUAGUCACAAGGACUGGUCAUCAUUAUGCUUUGCACUGGCUAGGGAGGAAUGAAUCCGAAUGAUGGGGAACAAGGGGGAAGAGAGAGGCAGAAACUCCAAUAGAGGGAGGAAGAGAGGAGAACCAGAGAGGGAAGGGUUCAGGGCCCAGACUGGCAGAGAGAGAGAAACACUACCAGAGACAGAGGCGGAGAAGCACAGGGCAGAGGAGGACAGGAAUGGAUGGGAGGAAAGGAGGAAAAAAGGAGAGAGGGAGACAGAAAUAAGGAAAGAAGGGAACAAGAGAGACUGAGAAGAGGAAAUGUACAGAGGAAGGAAAUGAGAAGGAAAGACAAGAGAGAAAGGGAGUAAAGAGAUCAAGGCAGGAAGAGGAGCAAGCCCCAGGGAGCCCUCAGGCCCUCCAGCCUGUUCCGCCUCCAGCAACCCCCUCCCCCAACUCCUUCUGGCCUGGCAACCCGCAGGCCAUGCUGGGGAGUGGGUACCAGGCGGCAGCGGAGCCGAGGCAGGAGAGUGGAAUGUCUUCGUGAUAUGUUUAUCCCCUAAUCAGUUCAUUAGUUAUAAACAACAUGACAUUAGAAGUUAGGAGGCAGUUGAUAUUAAUUUUUAUUUAACUAGUUGAUGUUUAAUCCGUCACGCCAGGCUGGGUAGCGGCGAGAAAGAUCUUCCUGACACAAAACCAGUUAGAACUUCAUAAGGCACAAUCAGUGUCCGCGCCUUGAAACAAACAAGAGAGACAGAGACAGAGAGACAGGGAGAGACAGAGAGACAGAGAGACAGUGGCAGCCCUGCCAGAGAUGGAGUCGGAGACAGAGACAGAGUGGAGGGCUGGGAGAGAGCUAACCCAGGGCAAGAGCUGGGGGAAAAUAAACUAGAAAGGCAGAGAGCUCAGACAGCUGGCAAGGGGCUGACAGCCCUGAACCUGGGCUCCAAGCCCAGGACAGCCCCGACUUAAUAGGGACCAGGAGACCAACGCCCUGGGAAAGUCCGGCCAGGGCAGUGGUGGGGUGGUCGACCAGGGCCCUGCCAAGCCUGGCCGCUGCAACUACUAGCGCCUUCCGACAAGGAAAGUGUUUAGUGUCCAUCGGUCUGGUGGGUGGCAAGGGUCUAAUGUCACAGCGAGGCGAGGCCCUGACUUUCGGAAACUCCUCUCCCAGGUCUGGAGGCCAAGAACUUCUUCCCUCCCUGCUCCAGGAGGAGCCGGCCCAGGCAAGAGAGGAAAGGAGAAAAGGGCGUGAACUUUGCACCCAGCGGUUCAAGUUUCACAAAGUUUGUUGCGGUCACAGACAGAGAGGGGUGUGUGUGUGUGCACGUGUAAGCUCGCCAGUGGCAAAGAGGGAGGAAGAGCACUCGGCUUUUUCCACCUUCACUCCGGGCACCGGCGGGCACUGGCUUGGUCACGGCUUCCUGAGCAGGCACGGGAGCGGGGGCGGGCUGUAGUUUUCCGCCGUCGCGAAGGACACUGUUUGAGGCGACAGAGGCAUCUUCGCCCGCGCGUAGACUCAAGCCGAGCAUCUCACUGUUUGCGUGCUAAUCUGAGUCCACUGCGAAAAGGAAAUCGCUGAAAUUCCGAAGAAAAUUGCCUCUCGCCGGUGGUUAAUAGUUAACUCAGACGGGAAAGUUCCCAGGGAAAGGCGAAAGCCAGGGCGAGAGGUGCAGGGGAGGCGCCCCGGGAGGGCCUCGGCCAGCCCCGGUCUCUCCCCUCCCAGGCCGCGCUCGGCCCCGCGCGCCUCCCCUUCCCGGGCGACGCAUCCCCCACCCCGUAAUUAGCAUCGUUUAGUUCACAAAACCUUUCCUGGGAGAAAUCUGUUCUCUCGUUCCGGGGCUCGGUUCAGCACCUGAUUCCGCCGGGUGAAGCGAAUAAAUCACUGCGGCGGCGGGGGAGCCGGACCCAAGCCCGCCAGACGGUGGCCGCCGGGAGAACGAAAAAGUGAGAAAGAGGCAGCGGAGCCAGGAAAAAUGAUGCAGGGAGACGGCGCAAUCCUAGCCCAGGAAGAGUGAGGGGCCCGGGAAAGGGAAACCCAGAGGCAGAGAAGGGGCCAAAAUGGAAGAGGGAGAUACAGAAAGAGACAGAAGAGAACAAGAAGGAGAGUGACAAGGAAAAGCGAACGAAAAGAAAGGGAAAAUGAGGAAGGGAAAUAAGUUAAAGAAACAAGAGCGAAGAGGGAGAUUAAGAAGGAAGGGACAGGCGAAUAAAGAAAAUAAAAGAAAACCAGAAGAGCAAACGCUUUUGUUUAUCUACAAAACCCCCUUGCAGGGCGCGCUUUCCCGACCGCGACCCGCGGCGGGAAGGGGGCCAGGGCUCUCGCGCUGAGGCCGCAGGCCCAGGAGGCCAGGGCGGGGCGCUCAGCCUGUGCGCUUGGGGCGCUAGGCGGGGUCCCGCGCGGACCUGGAUUCCAAGUUGAACUUCAGGGCGCGGGGCGCGCCGGAGCAUCUGCCCCUGGAAAGAGUGGUGUCUGGGUGUGGGGUGUCGUCCUGGGUCCAUGGCGGGGAAGGGGACGGGUAGAUAAAAGGUUCACGGCUCGUUCUUGGGCACGCAUUGGGCGCCUGGGACUUUCAGCCCUGGCGCGAAGGGAGGUGGGGAGGCGGGGUGGCGGGAACCCGUGGUGGGCAGGCUGUGGCCGCUAAGCACAGACCCCCAACGUCCCCGCAGCUCGGACUUCUCAUUCUUCAGCCGGCCCUGGGAAAACUCCCUUCUUGCGGAUCUAGUGUCCAGGCUGGCGCGCCGGGCCACAGAUGCAAGGAAAAAGUAACGCAGCCAGAACCGCGACCCAGCGCCAGCGGAGGGCGCAUUUCCUGAGCCGCCUUCCCACUGCGACUCAGAGACGCGGCUCAGAUUCUGCCCGUUCCCAGGGUCUUCUCCAGCACCGGUGUCCCCAGGCCAGAGGGUAGAGAGGAAGAAAGAAGAGGAGAAAGAAGCGGGGGCAGGGGUGGGGUGGGGAGGAAAAGGGACGGGAGAAGGGUGGGGGAGGAGAGGGGGCGGUGCAGAAGAGAAGCAGAUUGCAAUGAAAAGUGGAAAUGCAGACCGGAUGGAAAGGAGGGCUUAAGGAUGCUAGGAAGCUUCCCCCUUCGGUUUGACUAGGUAUCUACGUAGACAGAGAUGGGAGCGCCCGGUUCCCCGGCCUCACCAUUUUGAGCCCCUGUGCUUUGGCGCCCCCAUGAUGUCGGGCUGAAGACUGAGACCGCAACAGGGCCGCUGCAGGCUCCGGUAUGAGUGAGACCGAGAUCACAGAGUGGAAGACUUCCCUGCCCACUAGGCGGCCCUGGGAUGACAAACGCCCUGAAAUUUUCCAGCCUUUUGAGACUUCUGGGUCGACCUGGUCCAACCCACUCUGCUCCUCCUCUCUCCUCC
rnacentral:lncRNA from 10 species